CUACCGUUGAAAAGUUAGCGGAUGACCUGUGGAUCGGAGUGAAAGGCUAAUCAAGCUCGGAGAUAGCUGGUUCUCCUCGAAAGCUAUUUAGGUAGCGCCUCGUGUAUCACUGCUGGGGGUAGAGCACUGUUUCGGCUAGGGGGUCAUCCCGACUUACCAACCCGAUGCAAACUCCGAAUACCAGCAAGUGUCAGCACGGGAGACACACGGCGGGUGCUAACGUCCGUCGUGAAAAGGGAAACAACCCAGACCGUCAGCUAAGGUCCCAAAAUCCUGGUUAAGUGGGAAACGAUGUGGGAAGGCUUAGACAGCUAGGAGGUUGGCUUAGAAGCAGCCACCCUUUAAAGAAAGCGUAAUAGCUCACUAGUCGAGUCGGCCUGCGC
rnacentral:rRNA from 1 species